GGCAAUGGGGGCAACCCUGACCGAGCAACGCCGCGUGAGUGAAGAAGGUUUUCGGAUCGUAAAGCUCUGUUGUAAGUCAAGAACGGGUGUGAGAGUGGAAAGUUCACACUGUGACGGUAGCUUACCAGAAAGGGACGGCUAACUACGUGCCAGCAGCCGCGGUAAUACGUAGGUCCCGAGCGUUGUCCGGAUUUAUUGGG
rnacentral:rRNA from 1 species